AUACGGAGGGUGCAAGCGUUAUCCGGAAUCAUUGGGUUUAAAGGGUCCGUAGGCGGGCUAAUAAGUCAGGGGUGAAAUCCCACAGCUUAACUGUGGAACUGCCCUUGAUACUGUUGGUCUUGAGUUACAGUGAAGUGGUUAGAAUGUGUAGUGUAGCGGUGAAAUGCAUAGAGAUUACACAGAAUACCGAUUGCGAAGGCAGAUCACUAACUGUAUACUGACGCUCAUAGACGAAAGCGUGGGGAGCGAACAGGAUUAGAAACCCUAGUAGUCC
rnacentral:rRNA from 1 species